GGAAUUGAUUUGCGUUCUCUAUCUGGUCGAUGCAGGUUGAUGUCAAAUGUUUUCAGAAGCCAAUGAUAUUAUUUCAGUGGAUGGGAAUGAAUGCUCUCAUCCUCUAUGCUAUGGCUGCUUGUGACCUCUUUUCUGGGGCAGUUCAAGGUUUCUAUUGGUAUUCACCUGAAAACAACUUGGUUGACAUUACAGAAAGGUUCAUUCAAGCAGCAUUUAAUUCAAAGAAGUGGGGUACCUUGGUAUUUGUGAUGCUUGAGAUAUUGAUUUGGGGUUUGGUUGCUGGAUUCCUUCAUGCAAAAAAGGUUUAUAUAAAGCUAUGAAGUUGCUGAUGUGAAUGCUUUUGCGUUGUCUGGUGCCACUCUCUUGAUCAUGCCCAGUAUUUUAAAAGAAUGCAUUCAGUGAGUCCUUCCUGCAGCAAAUCCAGAAGAUUUGAGAUUCCCAAGUCAUAGCAUUGAACUUUACUGUCCUUACGUCAUGUAUAUAUCUGCGGAUAAUAUUAUGUAGUAGAUCAUGAACAGUUUCCAGCUUUCUCCUUGGGUAGUUGUGGCAUUAAAAUUUGCUUCAAGGAUAUCUACAUAGUCCAGUCACAAAUGACAGCAGGUUGUAAACUUGUCAUAUCAUAUUUAAUU
rnacentral:misc_RNA from 1 species